rnacentral:rRNA from 1 species
GAUGAACGCUGGCGGCGUGCCUAAUACAUGCAAGUCGAGCGAACAGAUAAGGAGCUUGCUCCUUUGAAGUUAGCGGCGGACGGGUGAGUAACACGUGGGUAACCUACCUAUAAGACUGGGAUAACUUCGGGAAACCGGAGCUAAUACCGGAUAACAUUUAGGACCGCAUGGUUCUAAAGUGAAAGAUGGUUUUGCUAUCACUUAUAGAUGGACCCGCGCCGUAUUAGCUAGUUGGUAAGGUAACGGCUUACCAAGGCGACGAUACGUAGCCGACCUGAGAGGGUGAUCGGCCACACUGGAACUGAGACACGGUCCAGACUCCUACGGGAGGCAGCAGUAGGGAAUCUUCCGCAAUGGGCGAAAGCCUGACGGAGCAACGCCGCGUGAGUGAUGAAGGGUUUCGGCUCGUAAAACUCUGUUAUUAGGGAAGAACAAAUGUGUAAGUAACUGUGCACAUCUUGACGGUACCUAAUCAGAAAGCCACGGCUAACUACGUG